CUUAACAAUGAGAGUAGCAGUGCUGAUGAAAACACCGAGGGUAAAAGUCCAAUGAACAAAGUCCGGCAGGGUUUACAUAAGAUUAGUUCAGUAUUUCAUAGAGGUACUAAAAAUGAGGAAAGUUUGGGCAGCAAUGAGGAGACUGUUCCAUCUCCUUAUGCUAACAUUAAAGCAGUUAAUCAGAAGGAGAUUGGUGUGAAUUUCAUAGUGGAAGACAGCCUUCCUAAGCCCACAGUGGUUAAGAAUGCAAAAGAAGUUAUCUUGAGUCCUGAGGGAAGUGGGUCAGAAAGUCCAGGGAAGGGAAAUGUCAAAGACAAGGCGAAGAGUUUUUUAAAACGUGCUGAGAAGUCUGCUCGCAACAUAAAGCAUGUGCUUUCCCGAAAAAGGUCAAGAAAACCUCGAAGUGGUGUAUCUGAUGUAACAGAACUAGAAAUAUCUCUUGAGUCUGAUUCUUCUGAUGAUGAAUCUCAUACAUCCCCUGAAGUUCAAAGAAUCCCAGUCGUUUCCAGUUCCACAUCCUCCAGUUAUGGCAGUGACCAUUAUGAUAAAAUCAAGGAGAAUGUUGUCGAGGCUGGUUCAAGUGAGUUCGCAGUGGAUGCUGAGGACCAAAUGAAGGUAAAUGUGGAAGGCCUGGGGAGAAUAGACGAGAACGAGGUGGCCAACUCUAAUGGUGGUAAUGGUAAUGGACUGGAGGAGUUGUCAAAACCUCAGCAAACUGAAAAGAAAUUGGAUGGUAAUGGACCAGAGGAGUUCACAAACUCUCGGGUGUCUGAAGAGAAAUUAAAAGGAGAGAUGGGGUCAGAUGCUGAAAAUAUUCAUGAUACAAGUUUGGGAUAGUCUUAGUACAGCAAAACAGGGUAUGGUAUGAGUACUUAUGAUUUUAUAUUUUUUUU
rnacentral:misc_RNA from 1 species